GAUGAAGAACGUAGCGAAAUGCGAUAAGUCAUGUGAAUUGCAGAAUUCAGUGAAUCAUCGAAUCUUUGAACGCACAUUGCGCCCGCCAGUAUUCUGGCGGGCAUGCCUGUCUGAGCGUCAUUUCAACCCUCAUGCCCCUAGGGCGUGGUGUUGGGGAUCGGCCAAAGCCCGCGAGGGACGGCCGGCCCCUAAAUCUAGUGGCGGACCCGUCGUGGCCUCCUCUGCGAAGUAGUGAUAUUCCGCAUCGGAGAGCGAUGAGCCCCUGCCGUUAAACCCCCAACUUUCCAAGGUUGACCUCAGAUCAGGUAGGAAUACCCGCUGAACUUAAGCAUAUCAAUAAGCGGAGGA
rnacentral:misc_RNA from 1 species